rnacentral:rRNA from 1 species
UACGAAGGGGGCUAGCGUUGCUCGGAAUUACUGGGCGUAAAGGGCGGCGUAGGUAGUCAGGCGUGAAAUUCCUGGGCUCAACCUGGGGACUGCGCUUGAUACGGCUAGGCUAGAGGAUGGAAGAGGGUCGCGGAAUUCCCAGUGUAGAGGUGAAAUUCGUAGAUAUUGGGAAGAACACCGGUGGCGAAGGCGGCGACCUGGUCCAUUACUGACGCUGAGGCGCGACAGCGUGGGGAGCAAACAGG